rnacentral:sRNA from 1 species
GUCUCGACCUGCUCAGGCGAAAUAAAAUGAAUAUGAGUGUCGAUUCCGCCCGCCGUUAAAAUCAAGCCCUCACCCGCAAGUGCCUCAGUCGAAGCUCCCACAGUCAUUCCCGGAGUUACGCCGUCCAUCGUGUCAGGAUUUCCGGCCUUUCCGAUUCCAGCGAUUUUUCCGUCUUUGAUUCCGAUGUCAGCUUUGUAAAUUCCUGUAUAAUCAAGAAUUACACAGUUCGUAAUCACCAAGUCCAAAUCACCGCCAUCGCUCGUUGUGUUCACCGACUGUCCCAUUCCGUCGCG